GCGAAAGUAGCUCAGUUGGUAGAGCAUCACCUUGCCAAGGUGGAGGUCGCGGGUUCAAAUCCCGUCUUUCGCU
rnacentral:tRNA from 3 species